rnacentral:rRNA from 1 species
CCCUUAUCGUUAGUUGCCAUCUGGUAAAGCAGGGGACUCUAGCGAAACUGCCACCGUAAGGUGAGAGGAAGGUGGGGAUGACGUCAAAUCAGCACGGCCCUUAUGUCCAGGGCUACACACGUGUUACAAUGGUCGGUACAGAGGGCAGCUACCUGGUGACAGGAUGCUAAUCUCGAAAACCGGCCUCAGUUCGGAUCGAAGUCUGCAACUCGACUUCGUGAAGCUGGAUUCGCUAGUAAUCGCGCAUCAGCCAUGGCGCGGUGAAUACGUUCCCGGGCCUU